rnacentral:rRNA from 1 species
GAUGAACGCUAGCGGCAGGCCUAACACAUGCAAGUCGAGGGGUAGUGGUUGCUUGCAACCAUGAGACCGGCGCACGGGUGCGUAACGCGUAUGCAACCUACCUUGUACAGGGGGAUAGCC